UUUGAAUGAUGAAAAAUAUGCUGUCCUGAUUUAGGGCCAAAGGUUUCCUAUAUUUUUUUUUUCUUUUGAAAAAAGAAUGGUAACCUAUAUAAUCUUAAGAUGAUGGCUUAAUCUUCUCACUGACAAAA
rfam:Plasmodium falciparum IGH-CR14 genomic scaffold supercont1.105, whole genome shotgun sequence.